UGACAUGCAUAGGUUCUUUCUCUUCAGCACCCUCUGCUGGUCAUAAUGGGAAUACUCACCAGCUUUUAUUUUGGUGGGGUUUUUCUGUGUUCCUGUGGGUAGAGGAAACAGGAAGCUGGUCGCUUGUUAGCCUGCAGAAUAUGUUGUUGCUCUUUAAAACGUUUCUGCCUUGGAGAGUUAUUGCUUUUUUACGGGAAGAAAAGGAUGUCAAUCAUUGAACUACUGACGAAGUAAAAAGCCUUAAACUUACUUCCGCCUCCAAUGUUCAUUGAAACCGUUAGCUGUCUGUCAAGUUGGGCAAAGGGACGCACAAUAAGGACAGAACA